CGCGUAGGCGGACUUUCAAGUCGGGUGUGAAAUCUGGCGGCUCAACUGCCAGCCUGCACUCGAUACUGUUGGUCUUGAGUGCAUGAGAGGAAAGCGGAAUUCCAGGUGUAGCGGUGAAAUGCGUAGAUAUCUGGAAGAACACCAGUAGCGAAGGCGGCUUUCUGGCGUGUUACUGACGCUGAAGCGCGAAGGCUAGGGGAGCAAACAGGAUUAGAUACCCUGGUAGUCC
rnacentral:rRNA from 1 species